ensembl:lncRNA
GUGCGUUGUAAACGUAGCGGCCCCUUUAAGAAAAUUGGACCGAGGUAUAUUGAAAACGGGGGUGAACUGUUCAUUUAGAACCGAAAAGUCAUUGUACAAAGAGGGCACAUUUUGAAUAUUUAAUCUGUUUAUUAUUUUACAUUGUAUUCUUUUCUAUAGCUACUGUGAAAAUGAACAUCAACUACUACUAUUAAGAGGAAAUGAUACAGUCUGUUUGACCGAUUCCCCCUCUUUCGCACAACGGUCUAUUCUGGAUCUAAGGCUCAUGAUGCAGUGGGAUUCAAUAAGCUGGUAGGUGCUGCCCAACGCAAGGUUUUCAGCUCCAGUCUACAACGAAUGAGCACGGAAAUAUACCGCAGCAUCCUCAUUCAUUUGAAGUGUUUACGCUCAGAUCAUAAAGCAUAUUCCUUGGUCAGCAUAAAUGCAACAUGCCAUUACCCUCAAACCAUGAAUGAUUGACUCCCGAGAGCAAGAAACCACUAAA